AGUGAACGCUGGCGGUAGGCCUAACACAUGCAAGUCGAACGGCAGCACAGUAAGAGCUUGCUCUUACGGGUGGCGAGUGGCGGACGGGUGAGGAAUACAUCGGAAUCUACUUUUUCGUGGGGGAUAACGUAGGGAAACUUACGCUAAUACCGCAUACGACCUACGGGUGAAAGCAGGGGAUCUUCGGACCUUGCGCGAUUGAAUGAGCCGAUGUCGGAUUAGCUAGUUGGCGGGGUAGAGGCCCACCAAGGCGACGAUCCGUAGCUGGUCUGAGAGGAUGAUCAGCCCGGCUGGAAUUGGACCGCGGUCCGGCCCAGUACGGGAGGCAGCGCUGGGGAAUAUUGUACAAUGGGCGGAAGCCUGGUCCGGCCAUACCGCGUGGGUUGAGAAGUCCUGCGGGUUGUAAAGCCCUUUUGUUGGGAAAGAAAAGCAGCAGGUUAAUACCCCGCUGUUCUGACGGUACCCAAAGAAUAAGCACCGGCUAACUUCGUG
rnacentral:rRNA from 1 species